rnacentral:rRNA from 1 species
UACGUAGGGUGCAAGCGUUGUCCGGAAUUAUUGGGCGUAAAGAGCUCGUAGGCGGUUUGUCGCGUCUGCUGUGAAAACUCGGGGCUCAACUCCGAGCUUGCAGUGGGUACGGGCAGUCUAGAGUGCGGUAGGGGAGACUGGAAUUCCUGGUGUAGCGGUGGAAUGCGCAGAUAUCAGGAGGAACACCGGUGGCGAAGGCGGGUCUCUGGGCAUGUCCUGACGCUGAGGAGCGAAAGCGUGGGGAGCGAACAGG